rnacentral:rRNA from 1 species
AGCAGCCGCGGUAAUUCCAGCUCCAAUAGCGUAUAUUAAAGUUGUUGCAGUUAAAAAGCUCGUAGUUGAAUUUCGGGAUUUGCACAUCGGUCGUGCCUUAAGGGGUAUGAACUGGUGUAGUCAAUUUCUCACCUUCUGGAGAACCGCGAUGCCCUUAAUUGGGUGUCACGGGGAACCAGGACCUUUACUUUGAAAAAAUUAGAGUGUUUAAAGCAGGCAUUUUGCUUGAAUACAUUAGCAUGGAAUAAUAAAAUAGGACGGCAUGAUUCUAUUUUGUUGGUUUCUAGGAUCACCGUAAUGAUUAAUAGGGAUAGUUGGGGGCAUUAGUAUUCAAUUGUCAGAGGUGAAAUUCUUGGAUUUAUUGAAGACUAACUACUGCGAAAGCAUUUGCCAAGGAUGUUUUCAUUAAUCAAGAACGAAAGUUAGGGGAUCGAAGACGAUCAGAUACCGUCGUAGUCUUAACCAUAAACUAUGCCGACUAGGAAUCAGACGAUGUUAAUUUUUUAAUGACUCGUUUGGCACCUUACG